UGAACAAUCUGCCCUUCUCAUCGGAAUAAGCGUUGGAAACGACGUCUAAUGCCGAAUACGACCUCCUUUCGCAUGAUCGGAGGUGGAAAGCUCCGGCGGAGAAGGAUGAGCUCGCGGCCUAUCAGCUAGUUGGUGUGGGUAAUGGCCCACAAGGCGACGACGGGUAGCCGGCCUGAGGAGGGUGACCGGCCACACGUGGGACUGAGACACGGCCCAGACCUCCGUACGGGAGG
rnacentral:rRNA from 1 species